UACAGAGGGUGCAAGCGUUGUUCGGAAUUACUGGGCGUAAAGGGAGUGUAGGCGGUUUGCUAAGUCUUCUGUGAAAUCUACGGGCUCAGCCUGUAACGUGCAGAGGAAACUGACAGACUUGAGUGUCGGAGAGGAUAGUGGAAUUCCCGGUGUAGAGGUGAAAUUCGUAGAGAUCGGGAGGAACACCAGUGGCGAAGGCGACUAUCUGGCUGACAACUGACGCUGAGACUCGAAAGCAUGGGGAGCAAACAGG
rnacentral:rRNA from 1 species